CAGAGCCUGGAUUUUAUCUACAGGAAAGUGAAGGGCAGACUGUCUGGGAAGAGGAAGGGGACCAGAGAGGGCAGCAGGGCCGAGCAGGGAGGACAUGACGUACAUAUGAAGACGUCACGGUGAGACCCACUGAUUGGAACAAGAAACGUGAUAGUAAUUUUCUUUUUUCUGGUCUAUUUUAUCUGAUAUACUCUACCUCCGGAUUCUUUUGACACCAUGGAGAACGUUGGAUCCUUACUACCCUUCCACUGGCAUUGUUGGAGGAGAAAACCUAAGUGGGGAUCAAGUCCCACCGUUGGCCUUCUCUUGCAUCACCACAGCGGGGAUGUGGGGCUCUUAGUCAUAGCAUCAGAGAAGAGGCUUUUGUUGGGACUUUCUUUGAAAGAAAAUGGAAGAACUCACCACCAUGCCAUCCUGUGGAUAAUGGAGUCUUAGUUAGUCUACUGUAAUCUUUCUGAGAAUUCUUGUUGUCUGUUUUAUAAAUGAUAUUGUUUUAGUUUUCUUCCUCUAGUGAUAAAACACUCUGACCAAAGACAAUUUGGGAAGGAAAGGGUUUAUUGCAUCUUACACUUCCAAGUGACAGGCUAUCAUUGAGGGAAGGCAGAGCAGAAAUGCAAGGCAAGAGCCUGGAGACAGGAGCCGAAGCAGAAACCAUGGAAGGAUGCUGCCUAUUGCCUUGCUCGGUUACUUUUUUAAAAAUACAGCCCAGGCCCACCUACCCAGGGGUGGCACUGCCCACAGUGGGCUGGGGCCUCCUACAUCAACUAGCAAUCAAGAAAAUGCCCUACAGACAUGCCCAUAGGUCAUUUGAUGGAGGAAAUUCCUCGGUUGAAGCUCCCCCCUCCCAGGGAUGCUAGUUUGUGUCAAGCCGACUCAAAAAAACCAGCGCAGAUAUCCAGGAACUUUAGUUGUGCUGAUCAGGAAAAAUUGAUGAGAUCGUUGUUUACUCCAUCUUCCUAUGGCAGGUCAAAAAGCAAAUUUUGCUUGAUGAUGACAUGAAAUACCUCAUGGGUUCAAACUUAAAUCUGAAACAACAUUGUAUUAAGGGAAGUUCAGCUUCUAUCCAUACUUACUUUAUUCGAUCUUCUCCUGCAUUGUAGUUAUUUUUUUAAGUUUUGCUUGUCUUUAAUAAAAAAAAACCUUAAAUAACUU